GCAAGUCGAGCGAGGGUUACGGGAUGAGCAAUCAUGUCGUGGCUCGAGCGGCGAACGGGUGAGUAACACGUGGGUAACCUACCCUCGGGACCGGGAUACCUCCUCGAAAGGGGGGCUAAUACCGGAUACGGUCCUCGGGACGCGAGUUCUGGGGAGGAACGGUGGCGGAAGUUGCCGCUCGAGGAGGGGCUCGCGGCCUAUCAGCUAGUUGGCAGGGCAACGGCCUACCAAGGCGAUGACGGGUAGCUGGUCUGAGAGGACGACCAGCCACACGGGGACUGAGACACGGCCCCGACUCCUACGGGAGGCAGCAGUGGGGAAUUUUCCGCAAUGGGCGACAGCCUGACGGAGUGACGCCGCGUGGGGGAUGAAGGCCUUCGGGUCGUAAACCCCUGUCAGGGGGAAAGAAGGGUGUCGGCGCGAACCGCCGGCAUCUGACGGUACCUCCAGAGGAAGCCCCGGCCAACCCUGUGCCAGCAGCCGCGGUAAGACAGAGGGGGCAAGCGUUGCUCGGAAUUACUGGGCGUAAAGGGCGCGUAGGCGGGAUGGCAAGUCGGUUGUGAAAGCCUCCGGCUCAACUGGAGAAUGGCGAUCGAUACUGCUGUUCUUGAGGGUGGUAGAGGAGACUGGAAUUCCCGGUGUAGCGGUGAAAUGUGUAGAGAUCGGGAGGAACACCGGUGGCGAAAGCGGGUCUCUGGGCCACUCCUGACGCUGAGGCGCGAAAGCGUGGGGAGCAAACGGGAUUAGAUACCC
rnacentral:rRNA from 1 species